rnacentral:rRNA from 1 species
AGAGUUUGAUCCUGGCUCAGAUUGAACGCUGGCGGCAUGCCUUACACAUGCAAGUCGAACGGUAACAGGUCUUCGGACGCUGACGAGUGGCGAACGGGUGAGUAAUACAUCGGAACGUGCCCAGUCGUGGGGGAUAACUACUCGAAAGAGUAGCUAAUGCCGCAUACGAUCUGAGGAUGAAAGCGGGGGACCUUCGGGCCUCGCGCGAUAGGAGCGGCCGAUGGCAGAUUAGGUAGUUGGUGGGAUAAAAGCUUACCAAGCCGACGAUCUGUGGCUGGUCUGAGAGGACGACCAGCCACACUGGGACUGAGACACGGCCCAGACUCCUACGGGAGGCAGCAGUGGGGAAUUUUGGACAAUGGGCGAAAGCCUGAUCCAGCAAUGCCGCGUGCAGGAUGAAGGCCUUCGGGUUGUAAACUGCUUUUGUACGGAACGAAAAAGCUCCUUCUAAUACAGGGGGCCCAUGACGGUACCGUAAGAAUAAGCACCGGCUAACUACGUGCCAGCAGCCGCGGUAAUACGUAGGGUGCGAGCGUUAAUCGGAAUUACUGGGCGUAAAGCGUGCGCAGGCGGUUAUGUAAGACAGAUGUGAAAUCCCCGGGCUCAACCUGGGAACUGCAUUUGUGACUGCAUGGCUAGAGUACGGUAGAGGGGGAUGGAAUUCCGCGUGUAGCAGUGAAAUGCGUAGAUAUGCGGAGGAACACCGAUGGCGAAGCAAUCCCCUGGACCUGUACUGACGCUCAUGCACGAAAGCGUGGGGAGCAAACAGGAUUAGAUACCCUGUAGUCCACGCCCUA